AGUUAGUGGCGGACGGGUGAGUAACGCGUGGGCAACCUGCCCCGUNCCGGGGGAUACCGCCUGGAAACAGGCGCUAAUACCGCAUAAGCGCAUACAGCCGCAUGGCAGUAUGCGGAAAGCUCCGGCGGCACGGGAUGGGCCCGCGCCCGAUUAGCCAGUUGGCGGGGUAACGGCCCACCAAAGCGACGAUCGGUAGCCGGCCUGAGAGGGCGGACGGCCACAUUGGGACUGAGACACGGCCCAAACUCCUACGGAAGGCAGCAG
rnacentral:rRNA from 1 species